rnacentral:pre_miRNA from 1 species
UUUCUACUCCCUCCGUCCAAAAAUACUUGUCAUCAAAAUGGAUAAAAAGAGAUGUAUCUAAAACUAAAAUACGUCUAGAUACAUUUCCUUUUAUCUAUUUUGAUGACAAGUAUUUCCAGACGGAGGGAGUAUUUG